rnacentral:rRNA from 1 species
GGUUAAGUUAGAAAGGGCGCACGGUGGAUGCCUUGGCACUAGGAGCCGAUGAAGGACGGGACGAACACCGAUAUGCUUCGGGGAGCUGUAAGCAAGCUUUGAUCCGGAGAUUUCCGAAUGGGGAAACCCACCACUCGUAAUGGAGUGGUAUCCAUAUCUGAAUACAUAGGAUAUGAGAAGGCAGACCCGGGGAACUGAAACAUCUAAGUACCCGGAGGAAGAGAAAGCAAAUGCGAUUCCCUGAGUAGCGGCGAGCGAAACGGGACCAGCCCAAACCAAGAGGCUUGCCUCUUGGGGUUGUAGGACACUCUGUACGGAGUUACAAAGGAACGAGGUAGAUGAAGAGGUCUGGAAAGGCCCGCCAUAGGAGGUAACAGCCCUGUAGUCAAAACUUCGUUCUCUCCUGAGUGGAUCCUGAGUACGGCGGAACACGUGAAAUUCCGUCGGAAUCCGGGAGGACCAUCUCCCAAGGCUAAAUACUCCCUAGUGACCGAUAGUGAACCAGUACCGUGAGGGAAAGGUGAAAAGCACCCCGGAAGGGGAGUGAAAGAGAUCCUGAAACCGUGUGCCUACAAGUAGUCAGAGCCCGUUAACGGGUGAUGGCGUGCCUUUUGUAGAAUGAACCGGCGAGUUACGAUCCCGUGCAAGGUUAAGCAGAAGAUGCGGAGCCGCAGCGAAAGCGAGUCUGAAUAGGGCGAAUUGAGUACGUGGUCGUAGACCCGAAACCAGGUGAUCUACCCAUGUCCAGGGUGAAGUUCAGGUAACACUGAAUGGAGGCCCGAACCCACGCACGUUGAAAAGUGCGGGGAUGAGGUGUGGGUAGGGGUGAAAUGCCAAUCGAACCUGGAGAUAGCUGGUUCUCUCCGAAAUAGCUUUAGGGCUAGCCUCAAGGUAAGAGUCUCGGAGGUAGAGCACUGAUUGGACUAGGGGCCCCUACCGGGUUACCGAAUUCAGUCAAACUCCGAAUGCCGAUGACUUAUCCUUGGGAGUCAGACUGCGAGUGAUAAGAUCCGUAGUCGAAAGGGAAACAGCCCAGACCGCCAGCUAAGGUCCCAAAGUAUACGUUAAGUGGAAAAGGAUGUGGAGUUGCUUAGACAACCAGGAUGUUGGCUUAGAAGCAGCCACCAUUUAAAGAGUGCGUAAUAGCUCACUGGUCGAGUGACUCUGCGCCGAAAAUGUACCGGGGCUAAACGUAUCACCGAAGCUGCGGACUGUUCUUCGAACAGUGGUAGGAGAGCGUUCUAAGAGCUGUGAAGCAAGACCGGAAGGACUUGUGGAGCGCUUAGAAGUGAGAAUGCCGGUAUGAGUAGCGAAAGAGGGGUGAGAAUCCCCUCCACCGAAUGCCUAAGGUUUCCUGAGGAAGGCUCGUCCGCUCAGGGUUAGUCGGGACCUAAGCCGAGGCCGAAAGGCGUAGGCGAUGGAUAACAGGUUGAUAUUCCUGUACCACCUCCUCACCAUUUGAGCAAUGGGGGGACGCAGGAGGAUAGGGUAAGCGCGGUAUUGGAUAUCCGCGUCCAAGCAGUUAGGCUGGGAAAUAGGCAAAUCCGUUUCCCGUGAAGGCUGAGCUGUGAUGGCGAGCGAAUUAUAGUAGCGAAGUUCCUGAUUCCACACUGCCAAGAAAAGCCUCUAGCGAGGUGAGAGGUGCCCGUACCGCAAACCGACACAGGUAGGCGAGGAGAGAAUCCUAAGGUGAUCGAGAGAACUCUCGUUAAGGAACUCGGCAAAAUGACCCCGUAACUUCGGGAGAAGGGGUGCUCUGUUAGGGUGCAAGCCCGAGAGAGCCGCAGUGAAUAGGCCCAGGCGACUGUUUAGCAAAAACACAGGUCUCUGCGAAGCCGUAAGGCGAAGUAUAGGGGCUGACGCCUGCCCGGUGCUGGAAGGUUAAGAGGAGCGCUUAGCGUAAGCGAAGGUGCGAAUUGAAGCCCCAGUAAACGGCGGCCGUAACUAUAACGGUCCUAAGGUAGCGAAAUUCCUUGUCGGGUAAGUUCCGACCCGCACGAAAGGCGCAACGAUCUGGGCACUGUCUCAACGAGAGACUCGGUGAAAUUAUAGUACCUGUGAAGAUGCAGGUUACCCGCGACAGGACGGAAAGACCCCGUGGAGCUUUACUGCAGCCUGAUAUUGAAUGUUGGUACAGCUUGUACAGGAUAGGUAGGAGCCUUGGAAACCGGAGCGCCAGCUUCGGUGGAGGCAUCGGUGGGAUACUACCCUGGCUGUAUUGACCUUCUAACCCGCCGCCCUUAUCGGGCGGGGAGACAGUGUCAGGUGGGCAGUUUGACUGGGGCGGUCGCCUCCUAAAAGGUAACGGAGGCGCCCAAAGGUUCCCUCAGAAUGGUUGGAAAUCAUUCGCAGAGUGUAAAGGCACAAGGGAGCUUGACUGCGAGACCUACAAGUCGAGCAGGGACGAAAGUCGGGCUUAGUGAUCCGGUGGUUCCGCAUGGAAGGGCCAUCGCUCAACGGAUAAAAGCUACCCCGGGGAUAACAGGCUUAUCUCCCCCAAGAGUCCACAUCGACGGGGAGGUUUGGCACCUCGAUGUCGGCUCAUCGCAUCCUGGGGCUGUAGUCGGUCCCAAGGGUUGGGCUGUUCGCCCAUUAAAGCGGUACGCGAGCUGGGUUCAGAACGUCGUGAGACAGUUCGGUCCCUAUCCGUCGCGGGCGCAGGAAAUUUGAGAGGAGCUGUCCUUAGUACGAGAGGACCGGGAUGGACGCACCGCUGGUGUACCAGUUGUUCUGCCAAGGGCAUCGCUGGGUAGCUAUGUGCGGACGGGAUAAGUGCUGAAAGCAUCUAAGCAUGAAGCCCCCCUCAAGAUGAGAUUUCCCAUUCCGCAAGGAAGUAAGAUCCCUGAAAGAUGAUCAGGUUGAUAGGUCUGAGGUGGAAGUGUGGCGACACAUGGAGCUGACAGAUACUAAUCGAUCGAGGACUUAACCAA